ACUGAAACUUUUUAGGUGAUGCAUCGCAUAUUCGCAGAGUGGUUGGAUAUUUGCAGCAUCAUAUAUGGAAGCGUUGGAGUAUCUUUUCGUUGGAUUCUGGUAGUUUUUGUUGACGCACUUUCUCAGGACGGACUUUGCUUUCAAAGAUUUCCAUCUCCAUAGCAACUACUGGUGAGAUGAAGAACCAAAUUGGGAAUCCAUAAAGCAGCACAGACCUGAUGGCCACUUUAUAUAAAAGCAGUUUGGUAUUUUGUGGAUAUGCUCAAAUACUUUGCCGACAUUUGAAAGCAAGGAGAUAGGCCGAUAUUCCGCCACUGUUUUGCUGCUUGGCUUUUUCUUUAUGGGGAUUACAUUGGCCAUUUUCCACCCCAAUGGAAAGUAACCCAAGUUUAUGCAGUUAUUAAAAAUGCAUUCGAGGAACUGCAGAGACGACAAAGAUUACUCCUUUAAUCUUAUCGACACUAGCAAAAUGGAGGGUAUCAGGAUUUUGGACUGCCGGGAAGCUGUCGCUGAAUGUAUAUAUUUGGCGAGGUGUUGGAGAAAGGAAGUCAGCCACCCUUGAGUCAAAAUCUAUGACUGGAGUUUCUGGAGUUGUCUGGCUAAAAGCUGCCUCAUACGACACUAGGAAUUUUUCAGCAAUCUCCGGUCGGUUGUAAAGGACAGUGCUGUCGUGCGAAAUACUAUGACAAAGGGAAGACUUCGACCUUCCAACUAUGUUGUAGAUUUCUUUAAAAGCCGUGGGUCCUGGCUCGAUGUUUUUUACUUUUUUAUUGAAAUGGUGUGUAUGCUCAAUGUUUACCAGUUCUUUUAUUAUUGUUUUCAGAAGCUGUAUUUGUUUCGAAAGAAUAAUAUUCUCCUGACUUUGUCUAUGGCCGGUUCUGUGAAAAAUCUUUUAGAGAUCUUUCUGCCAAUUGUGUUUUAUUUUAAAGAACUUUUUAACUUUCUCUGAAAGUGGAAAAUGAUCUUGUCUUAGAGGAAUUCUUCGCGAAUGGGCAUCAUGAACAGAAAUGACAACGUUGUUGAAUUUUGCAAUGAAGUCAUCAAUUUC
rnacentral:sRNA from 1 species